GCCUUAAAUCCUUAGUUGUUGGCAAAACUGGCUGAUGAUCAGAGUUACCUAGAAGCUUUUAGUGAGUAAAGGUGUUGAGUCCCCAUCUCAAACCCUCUAUUUCAGACGCUCGUCAGGUGGACUUUGGAAUCUAUACUUUAACAGGCCCCAAGACUGACGGCAGCUUCCUCCAUUCACUUUAAUCCAGGUCCAUUGUGCAGUGCUGCUCAGAGGAACUGAACAUCUCCUUGACCUUGAGAUUCCCCAGGGUCAAUCUGGGAAGAUAAGAUGAGGACUCCGGAUUUUGAUUCAGGAUAAAGACUGCUCAGGGUCAUGAUGGAAGGCCAGAUAAUAAGCUAAGGGUGUUUGGGGGAAGGGGAAGGGAACCAGACAAAGGAGGUCAGACCCUGCAGGACUCUGAGAGUUCUGGCUGUGUUGGCCAGGACUUGAGGCUGGAGAAGCAAGCAAGGGCCUAAGGGCGAGUGGCCUUGAAUGCCAAAAUGGGGAGCUGGUACUCCAAGCUGUUGGGGAUGGAGAAAGAUCACUUGAGAGUAGUGUAGAGGGUGGAGUAGGGAGCCUGGCUCAAGCGCCCAGUGUGGGCCUAGUGCUGGGGUAGAGAAUAUGAGCCUGAGAGAGGAUGGAGGCUCACAGAGUCCAAGAUUCCAGGCCUGUGGCCUUGAGGAUUUCGGAGGUGAGACAGUAGUAUAGUUAGGAGUCUUGGAGGCAAGAAGGGAAGGGCAGAUACUAGCUCUACCACUCAUCCCCUGUGUGGCCUUGGGCAACUGGACCUGUUUCCUCCUCUACAAAAUGGGAUAAUAACAGGACUUAUGCCCAAGCUUUGUUGUGAGAAUUAUAGGAGAAAUACUUGUAAAGUGCUCAAUAAAUCUUAGUAAAUAUCA